GUACAGCGCGUCCACCCGACCUAUUACGCGAUUCCGGUGAUCGUGGGCGCCUCGUCCAACGUCAUCAUGCCGGCGUCGGCCCCGCUCGCCCUGCUGCACGAAUUGGCGCGGGUGUCCUUCUGGAGGCUGCUUCUGUUUGGCUUGCUCGCGAAGGCCAUCGUCCUGAUCAUGGUCAUCGUGAUGGUCAACGUGGCGGACAAGUACGGCAUUCUCAGCGCCCAAACGACUCCGGAAUGAGCCGCUACCUUUCACGGAUUCAUAUAUUUCGUUUUCGCCCCCAACUGCCAUUGGCUACGUCGUAUUGAGGAACGCAGAUUUUAGCGCAUGAACUGUACACAACUAUAACUUUGUUUUCUCUGUUACUGUGGCAACUUCGCAACCAGCCUUUUUGGGACACUCGCCGUUAAUGCAUCAGCGCCCCACACCCGUCCUCAAUCUACUCGUUUAUGUGCGUUUUAUAUUAGUCUUUCCCCCAGUGCUGUUAACCAGUCUGUUUCUGUCUCCUUGGCGUUCUCUCCUUUUCUUCUUUCUUUCUUGCUUUAUUUUGGUUCAGUUGGACAUUCGGUUUCUUUUGAAUGUGAAUCAAUGUUUUCUGGACCUCGUUUAUUAUUUAUUCUUUGUUACUGCACAUAGUGAAUAUAGCCAUCGGCUCAUCAUGA